CUGCACUCCAGCCUGGACGACAGAGCAAGACCUUGUCUCAAAAAAUCACAAUCUAGCGUGGAAUCUCUUUUCAAUAUUUCCUCGAUAUUCUGGAAUUACCUCUUUACAUGAGAGCCGAUAAAAUUGCACGUGGCCUAUGUUUUCCAUGAAAUGCAAUUGUUACAGAGCAACCCGAUGAAUUAUAACAUGGGUCAGGCCACAAUUCUCCAGCGUGCUCAGAGGAUCAGGCCAGCGGAGCUGCAAGCCAGACACACAACUCCACGGUGGUUCCGGCAAGGAAGUAAUUGUCCUGCCGUUUUGCGGCUCCUGCUCCACCUGGCUCAACCGCAGCCGUCAUAAAUCGCAGACUACAAAGCUGCAUGAUUUGAGAGCCAGCGCCAAAAACGCAAGUUUCAAAAAUUGAACCACUCACAGUUCCUCCUCUUCAUUUUGAGACAAUAAAUUUUGUGCUCACAUUAUCUUGUUAUAUAAUUGCCCGUUAAUAAAAACUAGGUAGUGAGAGCCAAAUAAAUAAAUGGCAUUUCACAAAAUCAUCUACACACACACACUCUCUCUCAAACACACACACACACACACACACACACUCACAUUUUCUAACUGCUUUGAAAAAGAAAUGGAGAAAAUGCUUGCAAGUAAAUAGGCAGGCAGGCAGCAAAAGAAAUUCUCAAAGGUAUUUCCAAACUUG
rnacentral:lncRNA from 1 species